GCACUCAUAGCUCAGUGGCAGAGCGCAAGCUUAGUAAGCUUGAGGCCGGGGGUUCGAAACCCUCUGAGUGCA
rnacentral:tRNA from 1 species